rfam:Triticum aestivum genome assembly, contig: Triticum_aestivum_CS42_TGACv1_scaffold_129291_2BL
UUUCUACUCCCUCCGUCUGAGAAUACUUGUCAUCAAAAUGGAUAAAAAGAGAUGUAUCUAAAACUAAAAUAUGUCUAGAUACAUUUCCUUUUAUCCAUUUUGAUGACAAGUAUUUCCGGACGGAGGGAGUAUUUG